rnacentral:lncRNA from 1 species
AGGCGGAUCUCUGAGUUCGAGGCCAGCCUGGUCUGCAGAGUGAGUUCCAGGACAGCCAGGGCUACACAGAGAAACUACGUAUCAAACCAAACACCACCACCCCAAACAAAACAACAAAAGUCACAAAGAAACGGCUGUUCAUCUAAAAAGCUGAGGCAUAACCGCAGUCACAGCAAGGCAUGCACUAUUUAAAGGUGACCAGGAGCUAGCGUCCUCCAGUUCCUACUUGUUCCAGUGGGUCUUUGAGUUGCGGUAUAAGGACGGAAACAUGAUGGGCAGAAUCUUCGCUGCGUUGUCACUGAUUAAACUCAUGAUGUACUCGUUGUUCCAGUAAUAGAGCGCCCGCUCGGCCACCUGCAAGACAGGGGUGCACAGGUGUUGGUGACCCGUACAGAGGUACAAGGCAAACACUCCCACUGCGAGACCUGUGAAUACAGCAAGUUAUACUGGAUCACACAAUUAUCACCAAUGCCGUCAAUUCUAACAGUCUAGGUUGUGACACUGAAGAGCAGUCAAUGAAGAGGCAAAAUGAGAACUUAGGUAUCAAGAGGACACGCUGGCAUUCGCUUCUCCAUUUAUUCAAUAAACAUUCGUGAGACCCC